rnacentral:rRNA from 1 species
UACGAAGGGGGCUAGCGUUGCUCGGAAUCACUGGGCGUAAAGGGUGCGUAGGCGGGUCUUUAAGUCAGGGGUGAAAUCCUGGAGCUCAACUCCAGAACUGCCUUUGAUACUGAAGAUCUUGAGUUCGGGAGAGGUGAGUGGAACUCCGAGUGUAGAGGUGAAAUUCGUAGAUAUUCGGAAGAACACCAGUGGCGAAGGCGACACACUGGCCCGAUACUGACGCUGAGGCGCGAAAGCGUGGGGAGCAAACAGG